rnacentral:rRNA from 1 species
AUUGAACGCUGGCGGCAUGCCUUACACAUGCAAGUCGAACGGCAGCACGGGUGCUUGCACCUGGUGGCGAGUGGCGAACGGGUGAGUAAUACAUCGGAACGUACCUUAUCGUGGGGGAUAACGCAGCGAAAGCUGUGCUAAUACCGCAUACGCCCUGAGGGGGAAAGCGGGGGAUCGAAAGACCUCGCGCGAUUAGAGCGGCCGAUGCCUGAUUAGCUUGUUGGUGGGGUAAAAGCCCACCAAGGCGACGAUCAGUAGCUGGUCUGAGAGGACGAUCAGCCACACUGGGACUGAGACACGGCCCAGGCGCCUACGGGAGGCAGCAGUGGGGAAUUUUGGACGAUGGGGGCAACCCUGAUCCAGCAAUGCCGCGUGAGUGAAGGAGGCCUUCGGGUUGUAAAGCUCUUUUGUCAGGGAAGAAACACCGGCUCUAACACAGUCCGGGAAUGACGGUACCUGAAGAAUAAGCACCGGCUAACUACGUGCCAGCCGCCGCCGUAA